AGCUUACAUAUCAAUUUUGAACUGAACAAUGAAAAAUAUUGAACCGAAUCACCAUUGAUCAAUCACCAAGUUUAAAUUGCUAGCUGAGACACAAAUAUGACAUAACAAAAAGCAGGAUUUUUCACUCACUGGGGUAUCAAAGACUUCAAAACUAAUGCAAGCCAUUACAAAAUUAUCAGCCAUGAAAUUUAAACAUAUCAAAGAAAUUAUAUUUACCAAUAACAAGAUUCAAAAUCUCACGUGGAAAAAAGAAAGAGAAGGGGG
rnacentral:misc_RNA from 1 species